ensembl:snRNA U6 U6 spliceosomal RNA
GUGCUCGCUUCAGCAGCACAUAGACUAAAAUGGGAACGAUGCAGAGAUUAGCAUGGCCCCUGUGCAAGGAUGACAUGCAAAUUCAUGAAGCAUUCCAUAUUUGA